AAACACUUAGCUAUAAGCAACAGCAACAGUGCUCUUCAUGGAAACUAUUUUUCAGCAUGUGAAGUUACCCCAGACUCAGCACUGGUAGCAUACCUACUUUGGGAAACACAACUAAGGAUCAGGAAGGAGACAACCGGAAGUCCCCCUGGACCUCAUGCUUCGCUGAGAAAUGUCAGAGCCACUCUGCCGGGGGCUCGCAGAACCACGGUUCCCAUGUCCAUCUGAGCGCUCCGAGGCCCGAGUUCUCCCUUCCACCCCAUACGUUCUGGGGGUGUGGAUGGAUUUAUGACCCAGCAGAUUAGCGCAGCCACCAGGACGUAGCCAGGGCUUGCUCUGCCCAGCACUGCCAAGAGCAGGGCACUAACUGUGCCCUGACAUCCACAAACGAGACCCCGGGUUCAGUGGGGCAGAGACAUCCUGGAGCCGCGGUUCAGUCAGAUCCCAAGUUCUUACCCACUGAAGGUCUUACUCCCGGGUUUGUGGGUUAAAAAAGAGAGAAAAGGCUGUGGGCUGGACGUGAUGGGGACCUCCGGCUAGGAAGAGGGACACCCCUGAAAACGGGAUUUGACCCCACAGCUGCUUAGAGAUGAGGAUGCCCUGAGAAACACACUCACGAUCCCUGGAAAUGUCGACUCCACCAAUGAAACCAACUUCCUGUACCUCUUUGUAUUUCCAAAUGACCUCUUGAUUUCUUAACUGUCAAAGUAACGCAAGGGCAACUGUAAGGUAACCUCUGGGGAAGAAAUAUCACUCAGAAACCUCUGCCCACCCCAACACAUCAUUUUCAUCUUUCUGGAAUAUUUUCAUGUCACCUGAACUUUUACACAAUGGUCAUCUUAACAAAGAAGUCUGUAUGUUUUCCAACUUUUUCACAUAAACAUGUUCACUGCUGUUAAAAUGUCUCCACUAUGAACGUUUCAAAUGCAUAAAAUUCCUUUGAGAAAACGUACCAUAACAUUUAGAGAUUAGCUUAACUUUAGACAUUUAGGUUAUUUCCCGGCUUUCAUUAAAAGACGAGAAAGGGG